AGUGAACGCUGGCGGCGUGCCUAAUACAUGCAAGUCGAACGAAGUGGCGCACGGGUGAGUAAUAUAUAGUUAAUCUGCCCUACACAGAGGAACAACAGUUGGAAACGACUGCUAAUACCUCAUAGUGUAGGAUGAGACUAUAUCGUAUCAGCUAGUUGGUAAGGUAAUGGCUUACCAAGGCUAUGACGCGUAACUGGUCUGAGAGGAUGAUCAGUGUAAUUGGAACAGAGACACGGUCCAAGCUCCAACGUGAGGCACCAGUAAGGCAUAGUGCCCAAUGCGAGAAACCCUGACGCAGCAACGAGGCGGGGAGGAUGAGACUUUUCGGAGCGUAAACUCCUUUUAUCAGGAAAGCGGUACCAAAUGAAGAAGCUCCGGCUAAAUCGGUGCCAGCAGCCGCGGUAAUUC
rnacentral:rRNA from 1 species